ACGGGACCCGCACAAGCGGUGGAUGAUGUGGUUUAAUUCGAUGCAACGCGAAAACCUUACCCACCUUUGACAUGUACGGAAGCCUUUAGAGAUAGAGGCGUGCUCGAAAGAGAGCCGUAACACAGGUGCUGCAUGGCUGUCGUCAGCUCGUGUCGUGAGAUGUUGGGUUAAGUCCCGCAACGAGCGCAACCCUUGUCAUUAGUUGCUACAUUCAGUUGGGCACUCUAAUGAGACUGCCGGUGACAAGCCGGAGGAAGGUGGGGAUGACGUCAAGUCCUCAUGGCCUUUAUGACCAGGGCUACACACGUACUACAAUGGCCGUUACAACGGGAAGCGAAGGAGCAAUCCGGAGCAAAUCCCUUAAAGGCGGUCCCAGUUCAGAUUGUGGGCUGAAACUCGCCCACAUGAAGGCGGAAUUGCUAGUAAUUGCAGAUCAGCAUGCUGCAGUGAAUACGUUCCCGGGCCUU
rnacentral:rRNA from 1 species